rnacentral:rRNA from 1 species
CACGGGGGGAGCAAGCGUUGUUCGGAAUCACUGGGCGUAAAGGGCGUGUAGGCGGUCUGGUAAGUGGGAUGUGAAAGCCCCCGGCUCACCCGGGGAUCUGCAUUCCAUACUGCCAGACUUGAGUAUGGGAGAGGACAGGGGAAUUCCUGGUGUAGCGGUGAAAUGCGUAGAUAUCAGGAGGAACACCGGUGGCGAAGGCGGCUCUCUGGACCACAACUGACGCUGAGGCGCGAAAGCUAGGGGAGCAAACAGG